ACCUCCUGGGCUUCCUCCUCCUGGCGGGACCCAGCGUCCGGGCCAGAGUCCCUCUGGCAGCCCGGGUAAAGGCGCCUUCAGCAAGGUCAAGGCGCGGCCGGCCGGCACCUGGGGAUUUUUUCCAACCGAGCACGGGCUUUGCAAUCGCAUUGUUAAGGAUCAUGGCAGCGGCAGGAAAUCUGAACGGCCCCACAGCCCGUCAACGUGCUACAAGGCUGCAGCGGCGAAAGAAGGCAGAGAGAUGGAGAAAACAAACGCAGCAGAAGCAAAACUGCGGUCCGCGAAGGGAGAGACAGGGAACAGAAGCCAUACCCGCGUUCAUCCCCAUUCCAUCCCCAUUGGAACCGGGCAAGCCCAGGAAAAGGCACGUAAUGGUAGCCGCCCCCGGUAAAGGCCAGCAAUCUACUUGCUAACCCCUCAA